CACUCACAUUUGUCUCUCUCUCUUUUUUCCUUCUCAGCCAUCCAUGGCUGCCUAUAAGAAGGGGAGGGGUUGAUGGAUGAUGGCACUACCAACCUAUCUGCAUCUGCACCCUCUCCUCUGAAUCUGAUCUUCCUUACUCCCUUUCUUGGUUGAGCGGGAGACAGAGAGAGACAUGGCGGCACUCAAGCUCAAGCUCAUGGUGCCACCGGCAGGCUUUUGCUUGUUUCUACUGCUCAUGCCACCACUCCUACUUCCUCCUGGAUGUGCUGCCACUCGUCCUGAUCCCACCCAAGGGCCAUCUGAGGGCAACAACAGGACAUGCACGGAGCUGAGCAAGAGGAGCCCCAUCCUCUACUGCGAGCACCACGCAUGCGUCGACAACUGCCGCAUCGAGGGCUUCGCCGAGGGAGGGUUUUGCAACUGGCUGCGCUGCCUCUGCAAGAGGCCCUGCUGAAUGUGACGAUGCUGCUUCAGGAUGUUGCGAGCGAUGCAACGAGUAAUAACUAAUAAGAUGCAUCAAAGUGUUGAUGUGCAUUUUCUCAAAAAAAAAAAGUGUUGAUGCGCAAGUUGUAACCGCAACAAAUUUCCUUCUCUAAAAAUUUGUCAACUCCCAGUUGCAAGCUAUAUAAUCUGAGGAAUCUAAAUAUUAGUUUAA